UACGAAGGGGGCGAGCGUUGUUCGGAAUUACUGGGCGUAAAGGGCGCGCAGGCGGCUCUGAAAGUCAGAUGUGAAAGCCCCGGGCUUAACCUGGGAAUUGCAUUUGAUACUCUGGAGCUUGAGUGUGGGAGAGGAGAGUGGAAUUCCCAGUGUAGAGGUGAAAUUCGUAGAUAUUGGGAAGAACACCGGUGGCGAAGGCGGCUCUCUGGACCACAACUGACGCUGAUGCACGAAAGCUAGGGGAGCAAACAGG
rnacentral:rRNA from 1 species